rnacentral:rRNA from 1 species
CCUACGGGGUGCAGCAGUGGGGAAUAUUGCACAAUGGGGGAAACCCUGAUGCAGCAACGCCGCGUGAGUGAAGAAGUAUCUCGGUAUGUAAAGCUCUAUCAGCAGGGAAGAAAAUGACGGUACCUGACUAAGAAGCCCCGGCUAACUACGUGCCAGCAGCCGCGGUAAUACGUAGGGGGCAAGCGUUAUCCGGAUUUACGGGGGGUAAAGGGGGCGUAGACGGGGUGGCAAGUCUGAAGUGAAAGGCCGGGCUCAACCCCGGGACUGCUUUGGACACUGUCAUGCUGGAGUGCUGGAGAGGUAAGCGGAAUUCCUAGUGUAGCGGUGAAAUGCGUAGAUAUUAGGAGGAACACCAGUGGCGAAGGCGGCUUACUGGACAGUAACGGACGUUGAGGCUCGAAAGCGUGGGGAGCAAACAGGAUUAGAUACCCCAGUAGUC